GAAAAAAAAAAAAAAAAAAAAAAAAAAAAAAAAAAAAAAAAAAAAAAA
rnacentral:ribozyme from 1 species